GGAGGGGCCCUGGCUCAGUGGUAGAACAUCUGUUUUGCAUGCAGAGGAUCCUAUGUUCAAUCUGUAGCAUCUUCA